GGGCCUUGGCUGCAAGGUUUUUCUUCUGAUAACACUAAAAAUAUAAGCUCUAGAUAUCUCUCACAGUGUGGUUUGGUUGUCACCCUUCACACAUCUUUUAAAAUGUAUGAUUAUUCCCAAGUUUCAGAUUCAAUUGUACUGUCUCUUCUUCUCUCAGUGUCAGUGGAGGGUGGUGAUCAGGCAUACGUCCCAUUUCUCCUGCCAGAACCCUGAAUAUAGGCUCUUGGCUUAUUAAAGUUGCUCUUUGAUCUGGGGGGAUUUGUUCCUGCCAAGUUCAGCUUUGCCUUCUCUUGUCUUCAACAGCAUGAAAUUAUCCCCUUGUUCUCUUGCUGUCCUGCAUUAAAGCAGGAUUUAACAACUCUUAUCCAAUACAUUCAGGGGCAGAGGGUCCCUUAUUUACACAUGGUUAUUCUGCGCUUGCAAUUCCCCAAACCCCCCUUAUUGUGUCAUCUUACCCAAAAUAAUUAAGGGGCACUGCACAGGUUGGGGAGGGGGGGAGGGAAGGGGGUGAUGAAAGUUGCCAAACUAUAGUGAUGUUUCUUGUCCAAAGUGGUGUGGAAUUCUGUAAUUUUUUUUUCCCUUUGGAAUGCCUUGAAUGGACGUGAAAAUAUUGUGCCUCUCUUGAAUUCUAAUCUUAGCCAAAUGGGACUCACUGAUCUUGUCAGUGAAUUUGUGCCAUCCCUAAUCAGUGGAAUGUCCCCUCCUAGUUGUUGGUAAAUAGAAUCCCCUUAAGCAUUUGCUGCAUGAUACUCCUCCCCUCCACAUCCUGGCUUCGUUCCUUGUUGGUUAUCUUUGGCUUCUGGGCCUUUGAGUUAAGCCCCAAACAUUCAAACUAAACUGUCAGAUAAACUGAAAUGAUUUGGUCUCCCCAGGCAAUAAUCGAAACUCCCACAUUAGCCUGUGAUCAGAGGAGGAUCCCUUGUAUUUCAAGUGGUGUGCUUGGGCUAUCUUAUCAAGGAAAUUGUCCUCUGUGUAUUUUUCAUGUUUUAUGGUGUGAGGUAAUGAGGCUUCCCAUUCCAUUUCUUCCUUGACAACAUAAAGGGUGAGGGCAGUUGGUGGGGGAGGACAGUGUGUGCAGUAUUACUGAGGCCAUGGAAGACCUCAUCGUAAAGCAGUAAGUGAGGUUUGGCACCAAAUUCCCCCCUGCUCCACAUUCUCCAUUACUCUUUAGUGUUUUUGUGCAUAUAUCACUGAGCUUCCCCACCAAUUCUGCCAAUAUACCUCCAGUAAGGUUUUGGUGGGUCAGGGUUUGAAUAACAUGUACUAGUUCAGUCGUUGUAACAACAGACUGUACCAAAGGUCUUGAGGUCAGUUAUUGGCUGCUGAAACUCAACUGGCUCCAUACUGUGUUGAAUUAAACCAACUUUCUUGUCUUAUUCCGCCCUUCCUGUUUAUAAUGUGUUGGUAUUGGCAUGGUUAGACUGUACGUCUUGGCUGGAUUUAACUAACACUGUGAUGUGUACAUAAAUCUCUUGAGUAUCUUGUACCUUCAGCCGUUGUCAGUGUAUGUCCACAACUGAGAAUUAACCAGAUGUGUGUUUGCUGUGAGGAAGUAUAAGAACCGCAGAUGUAUAGCAUUCACAUAUACCCUCACAAUCUCUCCUCAGGGAGGAGGAAAGAGCAGGUUGUGGAGAUGUGAACUAGUUGAAAGAAAAAAGGCUGAUGCCAAGAAUAGCUGCCAUUUCCAACAUGGCCUAACCCAACUCAUUCCCCACCUUGCUGGGCUCGUAGCAGUGUUAGGUUUGCUUGGAAGGAGACCUUACUGUGUAGCUUUAGUUAACCAAAACAAAUACCUCAUUGCUUUUUUUUUAUGGUCACCAAAAACACCAUGCAUGGGGAAGCCCCAUUAGAGGAGUGCCUGAUGUCAGGAUAAUAGACUGGAUUAAAACAACUCUUGUUUUGUUGCCAUUGGGAACAGCUCCAUUAUAAUCGGAGGAAAAUCAGAUUGUGAGAUGAGCUGUAACUGGCAGGGUUGAAGGCUGUUCCGUGGCAGCAAAGUUGGAGCAAAACUGAGAAUUAGCUGAUAAAUGGGGCAAUCCUGUUGUAUAUACUCCACUUGCUGCUGACAACUAGUGAGAGGUUUUCAGUGGAUUUAGUUUUUCACUGGAACACAGUUGCCUUCUCCUUCCCUUCCCUUGUUAAGUAUUCUCAGCUAAAGUAUUUAAUCUUGUUGAGACCCUCCCUGGAGUGGUGAGUUCUGUUUAGUUGGAGAUUGAAACAGUAUUAGGGAUUGGAAAAGCUGUUGGCUUUCCUAGUAUAAGGGCUUGAAAUCCAGCUACAGCAAGACACCAUUCUAGAUCAUUUGCUUGUGAUAUUCUUUCCCCAUCAUGACAGGUCAAUUUCAGGCCCCGUUAAUCUCAAAGAACUGGCUUCCGUGUUCUGCACCAGUUGUAUCUCUGCCUCUCUAGCAACAGGGCUUUUCCUUCCAUUUGCCUUUUCUCGGUCAAAACAUUCUCGCCGAAGCUAAAGCUGGAAAAUAAAUUAUUUCCCCUACAGAAGGCAGCAAAUGGAAAGAGAAGCAAAUGGCAGGGUGGGUAAUCAUCUGAGUGAUUUGCAUCUCUUGAGGUUUUCUUUAAACCAUUAGCUAGCCCCUGGGUACCAGUAGCAGGUCCAGUUUCCCAGUGGCCAAUUGUUCCGUUACAGCAAGGUUGGAGCUAACCUUCUCUUAAAAGUGUCUUUGUUUCUGCACAUUUUUAAUCAAUUUUUCUCAGGGGUGACUGAGUGGUCCGAGGGGAGGGGGCUACCCGCAAAGGGGUGGGCGUGGCUCCUCGGACCUCCGCAGCUGGGCCGUGGGCUCCUCACCCUCAGGUUUUGUCUGCAAACCUAGAGGUUUUGUACAGUUUGUCACAUGUCAGUGCCCUUUGCUACUGUUUCUCUUUGUUUAUUAAAUGUGUUUGAAUAAUAAUGGAGAUGCUGUGAUUUUUUUCCAAUAAAGAUUCUGACAUGA